rnacentral:rRNA from 1 species
CCUACGGGUGGCAGCAGUGGGGAAUAUUGGGCAAUGGGCGCAAGCCUGACCCAGCAACGCCGCGUGAAGGAAGAAGGCUUUCGGGUUGUAAACUUCUUUUCUCAGGGACGAAGCAAGUGACGGUACCUGAGGAAUAAGCCACGGCUAACUACGUGCCAGCAGCCGCGGUAAUACGUAGGUGGCAAGCGUUAUCCGGAUUUACUGGGUGUAAAGGGCGUGUAGGCGGGACUGCAAGUCAGAUGUGAAAACCACGGGCUCAACCUGUUGCCUGCAUUUGAAACUGUAGUUCUUGAGUACUGGAGAGGCAGACGGAAUUCGUAGUGUAGCGGUGAAAUGCGUAGAUAUUAGGAGGAACACCAGUGGCGAAGGCAUCUCACGAAUCCGCGAUUGACGCUGAUGCACGAAAGCGUGGGUAUCAAACAGGAUUAGAUACCCCGGUAGUC